rnacentral:lncRNA from 1 species
CCAUAUGUUGCGAGUGUAGAAUUCUAUCUCAGUGACAUAGAACAACACCCAAGAUACGGUAAGAACUAUACAAAAUAAACCCACCCAAAAUCUUUGACUACUAUAUCCAAACCCCUACUUAGUAAAUCUAAACCCUAACCAGGAACCUAUAAACCCAAAUACAAUCUAUAAACUAUUUUUCAAUAUUAGACAAUCUAAACUCUAACAAAGAACGUACAACAUGGCAAAUUAUUACAUAUUUAAUAAAUAGUAUAGAACUAUUAUCACAAAUAGUAUAGAAAUAUUGUCACAAAUUGACUUUGUAAAUGCUUUAGAGAAGUUUUGAUAGUAUAGUACACUAAUAUAAGGGUUUAUAUGCUAUCUAACCAAAUUUGACUAUUAUACCCACCCACUUAAAUAUUAAACCCUAGACAAACUCUCUAGUUACUAAAUCUAAACCCAAAUAACUGAACUAUAAACUCAAAUAGAACCUUUAUAAAUAGUUAGAAUGACUGACUCACACCCAAUUUUAAAUAUUAAACUCUAAACUGUUAUCACUAAAUCAAAAACUCAAUCUUCACCUUCCAAAUACUAAACCCUAAAUUUUAAUCACAAAUUCCUAAACCAUACCACCCAAUUAAAUAUUAAACCCUAAACAAACUCCCUAGUUACUAAAUCUAAACCCAAAUAUAAUGUCUAUGAUUGCAUGAAAGAAGUUAAUGUUGACCCCAACCAUACUCCCUCACAUUCUAAAUACUAAACCCUAAAUUCUAGCCACUAAACCAUAAUCCAAAUAUACACUAAACCCUAAACCUAAAUAAAUAGAUUAAGUUAAACCCUAAUCAAUGAAGUAUAAACCCAAAUAGAAUGUAUAUAAUAUGGUUUACUAUACCCAAACUUUUACUUAGUAAAUCUAAACCCUAGGCAGGAACCUAUAAACUCAAAUACAAUCUAUAAAUUGUUUUCCAAUAUUAAACACUUGAAAGCACAUUUACUUGGUUAACAUGUUGCAUAUCUUAUAUUCCAUAUAGUCUAAGUAGUAUAGUAAACGAAUGUUCCAAAUAAUCAAAUUUGACCAACACACGAAAAAAUGAAUUUCAUAUUACAAUCAA